UUUGUUGAAAUAAUAAAAAGUAAUUGAAAUUUUCGAAUUAGAUGAAAACCAAAUUGCCAUAUAUGUGAAGUCACAUCACCCGGGGGAGGGGUAAAAAAAUCUUCAAUUUCGUGUGAUGCAAUUAAAUAAUGGAUGACCGCAAAGUAUAAAAUUGAGUUUUUAAUGCCUGGUGCAGUUUUGUAGGCCGAUUUUAAUAGAGUAAUAUAAAAUAUAUCAUUAGGUGUUUCACCGUUUGAAUUUGAUUAUAACUAAGUAUUAAAAAAAACUUUUUUUAUAUUGUACCGAGGUAAUUAUUUUGUACAAAAAAAGUUAAUUUUGGCAAAAAAUAACUAUAUACCUACCUAUAAUUAUACUUACCAUACAUAUACGAAUUGCAACUAAUAUGCCAAAUUUUAGAAGAAAUACUUACAUUUAAGACAGUAAUCACCUAUUAGUAGCUUAUUCAAAUUCAAAUAAUUUAUUUCGGAAACAUAUUAGACUACAGACAGAACAUAUUAGAGUUAUACAGAGUGGGCCUUGUGACACGAUCGAAAGUUUAAACAAUAACAUCUGCAUACUAGUUAGGCCACUUGGUGUUAAUUUUAACCUCUCGUUUUGCCCGUUUCCGUGCAGUAAGUACUGAAAUAUCGUGGAUCCGCGUUCCAACAUAUGAAUGGUUAAAGUGUUUUGUUAAAAAGUGAAUUUUACUGCGUCAUGUCUAAAUAAAACUAGUUCUCCUAAUAACUAAAUUUUUAGAAACGAUAUUUUGUUGUACAUUUGUCAGGCCCCACGCUGUAUAUGGUCUGUCAAGCUAAGUAUGUCAGUAGCAAUGUACAGCAAAGUGAAGUAGGGCAACACUCAAAGAGCAGUAUUGCUUUACAAAAAGCAGCAAUGUACAUCUAACCAAAACACGUAAUUAUCAUAACCUCAAAUAUUACAAAUAUUUACGAUCAACGAGCAUGACUGUACAUUGUAGGCACCUUGACUUCUUAAGUUCAUGCACGAUAUUAUUUCAUUUAUUGGUAUUUAAUGGUGACAGCAGAAAUUUCUCUUGAUAUAGCAACGAUUCAGAAUGUAAACAAAUAAGAUGGCUGUCAUUCACGAUCCACAUUCCACAGAUAAAACACAGAUGACACGCGAUUUUGGAAUUGUUCGAAAACAGUGUUGCUAACCCGCGAUUUUUCAAAUUUGCCGUCUUUUGCUACUGACAAGAUUUGCUUGACCAAGUAUAUUUUAUGUAGCUCCAGUUUAUAAAACAAACGAAAUAGAGCAAAAACAUGUUUCGUAUGAAACAAAUAUUUUCGUUGUAUAUUUUAACUGUGGUAUCUGAAGCUACAUAAACUAAUUACAGGACUAGAUAUACCUUAUCAUAUUGUAAGUACAAAGUUUCAGAGCAAUCUGGCUAGUCGUUUAAAAAUGAGAGCGUAACUACGUUUGUAUGGAGAACCGAGCUUGCUGCGGACUC